AACGCGAAGAACCUUACCUGGGCUCGAAAUGGAGUGGACCGGGGUGGAAACAUCCCUUCCCCGCAAGGGGCUGCUCUAUAGGUGCUGCAUGGCUGUCGUCAGCUCGUGUCGUGAGAUGUUGGGUUAAGUCCCGCAACGAGCGCAACCCUUACUCAUAGUUGCUACCCGCAAGGGAGAACUCUAUGAGGACUGCUCCGGAUAACGGAGAGGAAGGUGGGGAUGAGGUCAAGUCAGCAUGGCCUUUAUGUCCAGGGCUACACACGUGUUACAAUGCGCGCCACAAAGCGUCGCGAACCCGCGAGGGGGAGCUAAUCGCAAAAAAGCGCGCUCAGUUCGGAUUGCAGUCUGCAACUCGACUGCAUGAAGCCGGAAUCGCUAGUAAUGGCGCAUCAGAACGGCGCCGUGAAUACGUUCCCGGGCCUUGUACACACCGAGACGAC
rnacentral:rRNA from 1 species